UGCCAGCCGCCGCGGUAAUACGGAGGGUGCGAGCGUUAAUCGGAAUUACUGGGCGUAAAGCGCGCGUAGGCGGCUUGGUCAGUUGGUUGUGAAAUUCCAGGGCUUAACCUUGGGUGGUCAAUCAAGACUGCAAAUCUAGAGUACGGUAGAGGGUAGUGGAAUUUCCGGUGUAGCGGUGAAAUGCGUAGAUAUCGGAAGGAACACCAGUGGCGAAGGCGGCUACCUGGACUGAUACUGACACUGAGGUGCGAAAGCGUGGUUAGCAAACAGGAUUAGAUA
rnacentral:rRNA from 1 species